rnacentral:rRNA from 1 species
ACCUGAUCCCAUGCCGAACUCAGAAGUGAAACGCCGUAGCGCCGAUGGUAGUGUGGGGUCUCCCCAUGCGAGAGUAGGACACUGCCAGGC